rnacentral:rRNA from 1 species
GGAUCUAGCGGCGGACGGGUUAGUAACGCGUGGGAACGUACCCAGAUCUACGGAAUAGCCUCGGGAAACUGAGAGUAAUACCGUAUACGCCCUUCGGGGGAAAGAUUUAUCGGAUUUGGAUCGGCCCGCGUAAGAUUAGAUAGUUGGUGGGGUAAUGGCCUACCAAGUCUACGAUCUUUAGCUGGUUUGAGAGGAUGAUCAGCAACACUGGGACUGAGACACGGCCCAGACUCCUACGGGAGGCAGCAGUGGGGAAUCUUAGACAAUGGGCGCAAGCCUGAUCUAGCGAUGCCGCGUGAGUGAUGAAGGCCUUAGGGUCGUAAAGCUCUUUCGCCUGUGAAGAUAAUGACGGUAGCAGGUAAAGAAACCCCGGCUAACUCCGUGCCAGCAGCCGCGGUAAUACGGAGGGGGUUAGCGUUGUUCGGAAUUACUGGGCGUAAAGCGCACGUAGGCGGACUAGUCAGUCAGAGGUGAAAUCCCAGGGCUCAACCCUGGAACUGCCUUUGAUACUGCUAGUCUUGAGUUCGAGAGAGGU